rnacentral:tRNA from 1 species
GCUGGUGUAGCUCAGUUGGUAGAGCAACGGUUUCGUAAACCGUAGGUCGUCAGUUCAAUUCUGACCACCAGCU